AUGCCAUGAUGAAAAUUGCGCUAAAUGUGAUGUUGGGUCAUCACAAUUGUUCGAUAUUUCGAAUUAAAGUGCUUCUGAGCAU